rnacentral:rRNA from 1 species
AUUGAACGCUGGCGGCAGGCCUAACACAUGCAAGUCGAGCGAGCGGCGGACGGGUGAGUAAUGUAUGGGGACUGCCCGAUAGAGGGGGAUAACUACUGGAAACGGUAGCUAAUACCGCAUACUAUCGGAUAACCCAUAUGGGAUUAGCUAGUAGGGGGGGUAAUGGGUCACCUAGGCGACGAUCCCUAGCGGGCCUGAGAGUGUUAUCAGCCACACUGGGACUGAGACACGGCCCAGACUCCUACGGAGGCAGCAGUGGGGAAUAUUGCACAAUGGGCGAAAGUCUGAUGCAGCCAUGCCGCGGGUAUGAAGAAGGCCUUAGGGUUGUAAAGUACUUUUAGUAGGGAGGCGGUAUCGACAGAAGAAGCCACGGCUAACUCCGUGCCAGCAGCCGCGGUAAUUC